rnacentral:rRNA from 1 species
AUACCGGAUAGAUCAAAGAAACUGGAAUGUUCUUUGGCCCAAAGCUCCGGCGCCCAAGGAUGGGUCUGCGGCCUAUCAGGUAGUAGUGGGUGUAACGUACCUACUAGCCUACGAUGGGUAAGGGUUGUGAGAGCAAGAGCCCUGAGAUGGAUUCUGAGACAUGAAUCCAGGCCCUACGGGGUGCAGCAGGCGCGAAAACUUUACAAUGCGGGACACCGCGAUAAGGGGACCCCGAGUGCCAGCACCUAGUGCUGGCUGUCCAGCUGUUCAAAAAACAGUUGUUAGCAAGGGCCGGGCAAGACCGGUGCCAGCCGCCGCGGUAACACCGGCGGCCCGAGUGGUAGCCGUUAUUAUUGGGUUUAAAGGGUCCGUAGCCGGCCUAUUAAGUCUCUUGGGAAAUCUGGCGGCUUAAUCGUCAGACGUUCAAGAGAUACUGAUGGGCUUGGGACCGGUAGAGGUGGGAGGUACUCCAGGGGUAGAGGUGAAAUUUUGUAAUCCUUGGGGGACCAUCGAUGGCGAAGGCAUCCCACUAGAACGGGUCCGACGGUGAGGGACGAAAGCUGGGGGCACGAACCGGAUUAGAUACCCGGGUAGUCCCAGCCGUAAACGAUGCUCGCUAGGUGUCAGGUGCGGUGCGACCGCAUUUGGUGCCGAAGUGAAAACUUGAAGCGAGCCACCUGGGAAGUACGGUCGCAAGGCUGAAACUUAAAGGAAUUGGCGGGGG